rnacentral:lncRNA from 1 species
AGAUCAUAUCUUUUUUUUUCAACCACACCCCACAUAUAACCUCGAUAUAAAUAGGCUUUUAACCCAUAAGCGCAUGGAGUUUUAUCCAAAUUAAAACUCCUAACCACCAAAGGAAAGAAGGGUGGUAGAGGGAUUCCCUUUGGAUGUGAACACCUUGCAAAAGGAGGACUAGGGCAUGCACACAAGAAAAGUGGGCGGU